AGGCCUGGAGAGAGAAGCAGGGUCUGAUCCGCAGCCUUCGUGGCAGCUGUUGAUCAACCCUUGCCUCUCUGUCUCUCUGUG
rfam:Myotis brandtii contig165270, whole genome shotgun sequence.